GAUGAACGCUGGCGGCGUGCCUAAUACAUGCAAGUCGAGCGAACGGACGAGAAGCUUGCUUCUCUGAUGUUAGCGGCGGACGGGUGAGUAACACGUGGAUAACCUACCUAUAAGACUGGGAUAACUUCGGGAAACCGGAGCUAAUACCGGAUAAUAUUUUGAACCGCAUGGUUCAAAAGUGAAAGACGGUCUUGCUGUCACUUAUAGAUGGAUCCGCGCUGCAUUAGCUAGUUGGUAAGGUAACGGCUUACCAAGGCAACGAUGCAUAGCCGACCUGAGAGGGUGAUCGGCCACACUGGAACUGAGACACGGUCCAGACUCCUACGGGAGGCAGCAGUAGGGAAUCUUCCGCAAUGGGCGAAAGCCUGACGGAGCAACGCCGCGUGAGUGAUGAAGGUCUUCGGAUCGUAAAACUCUGUUAUUAGGGAAGAACAUAUGUGUAAGUAACUGUGCACAUCUUGACGGUACCUAAUCAGAAAGCCACGGCUAACUACGUGCCAGCAGCCGCGGUAAUACGUAGGUGGCAAGCGUUAUCCGGAAUUAUUGGGCGUAAAGCGCGCGUAGGCGGUUUUUUAAGUCUGAUGUGAAAGCCCACGGCUCAACCGUGGAGGGUCAUUGGAAACUGGAAAACUUGAGUGCAGAAGAGGAAAGUGGAAUUCCAUGUGUAGCGGUGAAAUGCGCAGAGAUAUGGAGGAACACCAGUGGCGAAGGCGACUUUCUGGUCUGUAACUGACGCUGAUGUGCGAAAGCGUGGGGAUCGAACAGGAUUAGAUACCCUGGUAGUCCACGCCGUAAACGAUGAGUGCUAAGUGUUAGGGGGUUUCCGCCCCUUAGUGCUGCAGCUAACGCAUUAAGCACUCCGCCUGGGGAGUACGACCGCAAGGUUGAAACUCAAAGGAAUUGACGGGGACCCGCACAAGCGGUGGAGCAUGUGGUUUAAUUCGAAGCAACGCGAAGAACCUUACCAAAUCUUGACAUCCUUUGACAACUCUAGAGAUAGAGCCUUCCCCUUCGGGGGACAAAGUGACAGGUGGUGCAUGGUUGUCGUCAGCUCGUGUCGUGAGAUGUUGGGUUAAGUCCCGCAACGAGCGCAACCCUUAAGCUUAGUUGCCAUCAUUAAGUUGGGCACUCUAAGUUGACUGCCGGUGACAAACCGGAGGAAGGUGGGGAUGACGUCAAAUCAUCAUGCCCCUUAUGAUUUGGGCUACACACGUGCUACAAUGGACAAUACAAAGGACAGCGAAACCGCGAGGUCAAGCAAAUCCCAUAAAGUUGUUCUCAGUUCGGAUUGUAGUCUGCAACUCGACUACAUGAAGCUGGAAUCGCUAGUAAUCGUAGAUCAGCAUGCUACGGUGAAUACGUUCCCGGGUCU
rnacentral:rRNA from 1 species